CUGAACUCCAAUCCAGUAAGACUAACCGCUGAACUUAAGCAUAUCAAUAAGCGGAGGA
rnacentral:rRNA from 1 species